UGGAUUUUAAAAAAUAACUAAAAAUUAAAUUAAGUGACACAGACAAGUCACGUCAACAAAUAGUGCACCUAGGGGCCAUAGAUAGGGAAUCUUGUUGUUCUUUUUAUUGUUGUUGUUGUUGCUCUUGUUCUUGUUCUUGUUAUUAUUCUUGUUCUUGUUGUUGUUACUGUUCUUAUUCUUGUUGUUAUUCUUGUUGUUCUUGUUGUUGUUCUUAUUGUUGUUGUUGUUGUUCUUGUUAUUCUUCUUCUUGUUAUUUUUAUUGUUGUUUUUGUUGUUGUUCUUGUUCUUGUUGUAGUUCUUGUUGUUCUUG
rnacentral:lncRNA from 1 species